rnacentral:rRNA from 1 species
GAUGAACGCUGGCGGUCUGCUUAACACAUGCAAGUCGAACGAACUCUUCGGAGUGAGUGGCGGACGGGUGAGUAACGCGUGAGAAUCUGCCUGUGGGUCGGGGACAACCGACUGGAAACGUGGCUAAUACCGGAUGAGCCGAAAGGUAAAAGAUUUAUUGCCCACAGAUGAGCUCGCGUCUGAUUAGCUAGUUGUAAGUAAAAGCGUACCAAGGCGACGAUCAGUAGCUGGUCUGAGAGGAUGAGCAGCCACACUGGGACUGAGACACGGCCCAGACUCCUACGGGAGGCAGCAGUGGGAAUUUUCGCAAUGGGCGAAG